rnacentral:rRNA from 1 species
GAUGAACGCUAGCUGCAGGCUUAACACAUGCAAGUCGAGGGACCGGCGCACGGGUGAGUAACACGUAUCCAACCUGCCCUUUACUCGGGGAUAGCCUUUCGACAGAAAGAUUAAUACCCGAUAUAAAGGUUGGGGAUGCGUUCCAUUAGGUUGUUGGUGAGGUAACGGCUCGCCAAGCCUUCGAUGGAUAGGGGUUCUGAGAGGAAGGGCCCCUACAUUGGAACCGAGACACGGACCAAUCUCGUACGCGAGAGAGCAGUGAGGAAUAUUGGUCAAUGGGCGCUAGCCUGAACCAGCCAAGUAGCGGGAAGGAUGAAGGGUUAUGGGUCGUAAACUGCUUGUAUAUAAGAAUAUGUAUUAUAUGAAUAAGGAUCGGCUAACUACGUGCCAGCAGCCGCGGUAAUAC